GUGCAAUUUUUUUUAUUUUUUUUUUUGAAGUUCACAUUCAGCUUCCAGGACAACAAAAACAACAUGUCCAGGAGAAAGGAGAGGCCUGCCAGGGUUAAGGAUUGCAUGUAACACUGGAGACGAACAAGAGAGAAAAGAAAACUGCAAGAUGACAAGAUGAAGCGUUGCAGAAACAAGUUGAAACUUAUGAGAGAAAACGGGAGGUUUAAAAAAAGGAUGGAUGGAGCAGAGCAUUCAUGCUGAGAUCAGUCGAUAUCACAGGGAACCUAGCCCCGAGUUGGAUUUGUGAUGGAGAGGACGGAGGGAUGGAUGGAUGAGAUGAUGGAUGAAGACAGACCGGCACGCACAAGCACACACUGUAUAUGUGGAUGGAGCACAGCAAUCAUGAUACAGAGUAAAU